ACAGAGGCAUGUGUUUUAUACAAGUAAAUGAAAGCUAUUCUAGGAAAACAGAGAAGCUAUUCUAGGUAAACAGAACCUAUUUAUGUCGAUUACAAUUUUAUCCUACAACUACUCCUAAUUAGAUCAUAAUCAGAUCAUUGACUAUUUUGUUUCCUUUUACACUACCCCUCAAGUUGGAGUAUGGAUGUUAAUUAUACCCAACUUGCUGAGAUGCGUAUGAAAGAUGGGUGCCCUUAGCGGUUUUGUAAAGAUGUCAGCUAUCUGAUUUCCUAUUGGC
rnacentral:lncRNA from 1 species